rnacentral:rRNA from 1 species
UACGAAGGGGGCUAGCGUUGCUCGGAAUCACUGGGCGUAAAGCGCACGUAGGCGGAUCUUUAAGUCAGAGGUGAAAUCCCAAGGCUCAACCUUGGAACUGCCUUUGAUACUGGGGAUCUCGAGUCCGGAAGAGGUGAGUGGAACUGCGAGUGUAGAGGUGAAAUUCGUAGAUAUUCGCAAGACACCAGUGGCGAAGGCGGCUCACUGGUCCGGUACUGACGCUGAGGUGCGAAAGCGUGGGGAGCAACAGG